rnacentral:rRNA from 1 species
ACAUAAAUGAAUCAAAACUUUCAACAACGGAUCUCUUGGUUCUGGCAUCGAUGAAGAACGCAGCGAAAUGCGAUAAGUAAUGUGAAUUGCAGAAUUCAGUGAAUCAUCGAAUCUUUGAACGCACAUUGCGCCCUCUGGUAUUCCGGAGGGCAUGCCUGUUCGAGCGUCAUUUCAACCCUCAAGCCUGGCUUGGUGAUGGGGCACUGCUUCUUACCCAAGAAGCAGGCCCUGAAAUUCAGUGGCGAGCUCGCCAGGACCCCGAGCGCAGUAGUUAAACCCUCGCUCUGGAAGGCCCUGGCGGUGCCCUGCCGUUAAACCCCCAACUUCUGAAAAUUUGACCUCGGAUCAGGUAGGAAUACCCGCUGAACUUAAGCAUAUCAAUAAGCGGAGGAAAAGAAACCAACAGGGAUUGCCCUAGUAACGGCGAGUGAAGCGGCAACAGCUCAAAUUUGAAAUCUGGCCUCGGCCCGAGUUGUAAUUUGCAGAGGAUGCUUCUGGCGCGGUGCCUUCCGAGUUCCCUGGAACGGGACGCCACAGAGGGUGAGAGCCCCGUAUGGUCGGACACCAAGCCUGUGUGAAGCUCCUUCGACGAGUCGAGUAGUUUGGGAAUGCUGCUCUAAAUGGGAGGUAAAUCUCUUCUAAAGCUAAAUACCGGCCAGAGACCGAUAGCGCACAAGUAGAGUGAUCGAAAGAUGAAAAGCACCUUGAAAAGGGGGUUAAAUAGUACGUGAAAUUGUUGAAAGGGAAGCACUUAUGACCAGACUUGGGCCGGGCGGCUCAUCAGGGGUUCUCCCCUGUGCACUCCGCCCGGCACAGGCCAGCAUCGGUUCUCGUGGGGGGAUAAGACCGUCAGGAACGUAGCACCCUCCGGGGUGUGUUAUAGCCUGGCGGACGAUACCCCCGUGGGGACCGAGGUCCGCGCUCCGCAAGGA